GUUUAACAUCAGGCCUCCUGAAUACCGGCAUGUCCAGGUGGACUUAUUCCACUAGUAUUAGGUAACUAGUACUUUCAUGGAGGUAACUAGUACUAUCAAGGUAUUAACUAAUACUAUCAUGGAAGUAACUAGUGAUAUCAUGGGAGUAACUAGUACUAUCAAGGUAGUAACUAGUACUCUAAAGAUAGAAACUACUAUAUGGAUGUAACUAGUGCUAACAUGGUAGUAACUAAUAGUACUAUCAUGGUAGUAACUAAUGCCUCUUUUCCACCGACAGUACCAGAACAGCUCCCCACAGGGACAUACACACUAGGUCCUCACAGGGACAUAGAUAAACACUAGGUCCUCACAGGGACAUAGAUACACACUAGGUCCUCACAGGGACAUUGGCGUGGAACAACUUGGUUGGGUUCCAGGCAUGUCGUGUUUCCAUCUAGAAUAAAGUACCUCUUCAACGUGAGCGGGUCGUCAUAGCACGAAUACGCUAAACUGCAUUGACGUACUUAUCCACACAAAACAUAAACAGACGGGGCUACACACAGGAGUGUCUCCACCACUGUCACGGUCCACGCCGUGUUCUUGCGCGCUGAUCCUGCCAUGUUCAAUAAUCAAUAACUAUUGUUGACUGAACGCUGAUGAUAGUGUUUAAAGAUAGUGGGUGUCGGGUUCGGACGUUGCGCUCGUCCAGUCUGUCCAAUCAGUGGCCAGCAGCCUGUUUACGUCAAACCAGUAUCAGAACAGCUCUCUUGGAACCUUGACGGAGGUGAGACUAAAGAAGUACCAGAUACCAGGUACAACAUUUCGGUGAUGGUGAACAUUUAGCUGGUACUGUCGACGGAAAAGGGGCGUAAUAAUACUAUCAUGGCGGUAGUACUAGUUAUAAUUUAAGCCAUAGCAGGCAUCGCUAGCUGCACGAGCAUCGCUAGCUGUUAGCUGCACUAUGCCCUGAAGCUAACAGAGAUGCUAACCCUGCUGUUUGUGUCCUG